rnacentral:rRNA from 1 species
AUACGGAGGGUGCAAGCGUUAUCCGGAAUCACUGGGUUUAAAGGGUGCGUAGGCGGCUCAAUCAGUCAGGGGUGAAAUCUUGCAGCUUAACUGUAAAAUUGCCUUUGAUACUGUUGAGCUUGAAUUAGGUUGAGGUUGGCGGAAUGUGACAUGUAGCGGUGAAAUGCAUAGAUAUGUCAUAGAACACCAAUUGCGAAGGCAGCUGGCUAGACCUUAAUUGACGCUGAGGCACGAAAGCGUGGGGAGCGAACAGGAUUAGAAACCCUAGUAGUCC